rnacentral:rRNA from 1 species
CCUACGGGUGGCUGCAGUGGGGAAUAUUGCACAAUGGGCGCAAGCCUGAUGCAGCAACGCCGCGUGCGGGAUGACGGCCUUCGGGUUGUAAACCGCUUUCAGCAGGGACGAAGCGCAAGUGACGGUACCUGCAGAAGAAGCACCGGCUAACUACGUGCCAGCAGCCGCGGUGAUACGUAGGGUGCGAGCGUUGUCCGGAUUUAUUGGGCGUAAAGAGCUUGUAGGCGGUUAGUCGCGUCGUAAGUGCAAACUCAGGGCUUAACCCUGAGCCUGCUUUCGAUACGGGCUGACUAGAGGAAGGUAGGGGAGAAUGGAAUUCCCGGUGGAGCGGUGGAAUGCGCAGAUAUCGGGAGGAACACCAGUGGCGAAGGCGGUUCUCUGGACCUUUCCUGACGCUGAGAAGCGAAAGCGUGGGGAGCAAACAGGAUUAGAUACCCGAGUAGUC